rnacentral:ncRNA from 2 species
AAAGUUCGAUACAGGAAAGGAAUAGCGAACCACCCUGGCCCCGAGUCAUGCGGCGGCACCCGCGAGGGUGCAGCCGAAGCGUUGACAGGGGAGAGUGCAGGCCAGCCAUUGAGCCGCGAAAUCAUUCUGUCUGGAGCGCCGACGCUGUUGAUCGAAGCGGAAGGCAACAUCGUCGAGGGCGCUAAACGCGAGUUCUCGGCGGGCUCCACGCGGUCGAAGACCC